rnacentral:rRNA from 1 species
UACGUAGGGGGCAAGCGUUGUCCGGAUUCAUUGGGCGUAAAGAGCGUGUAGGCGGCCUGGAAGGUCAGCUGUGAAAACUCGAGGCUCAACCUCGAGACGUCGGUUGAAACCACCUGGCUAGAGUCCGGAAGAGGAGAAUGGAAUUCCCGGUGUAGCGGUGAAAUGCGCAGAUAUCGGGAAGAACACCCGUGGCGAAGGCGGUUCUCUAGUACGGUACUGACGCUGAGACGCGAAAGCGUGGGGAGCGAACAGG